rnacentral:rRNA from 1 species
CUGGUAGGCAAAUCCGCCGGGCUUAGAUGAGGGGUGAUAACGAGGCGGCUUGCCGCCGAAGUGAGUGAUACCCUGCUUCCAGGAAAAGCCACUAAGCUUCAGCUACACACGACCGUACCGCAAACCGACACUGGUGCGCGAGAUGAGUAUUCUAAGGCGCUUGAGAGAACUCUGGAGAAGGAACUCGGCAAAUUGACACCGUAACUUCGGAAGAAGGUGUGCCUUUAGUAGGUGAACCAGUACAUGGGGAGCCCAAUGAGGCCGCAGAGAAUCGGUGGCUGCAACUGUUUAAUAAAAACACAGCACUCUGCAAAGACGAAAGUCGACGUAUAGGGUGUGACGCCUGCCCGGUGCUGGAAGAUUAAAUGAUGGGGUGCAAGCUCUUGACUGAAGUCCCAGUAAACGGCGGCCGUAACUAUAACGGUCCUAAGGUAGCGAAAUUCCUUGUCGGGUAAGUUCCGACCUGCACGAAUGGCGUAAUGAUGGCCACACUGUCUCCUCCAGAGACUCAGCGAAGUUGAAAUGUUUGUGAUGAUGCAAUCUCCCCGCGGAAAGACGGAAAGACCCCAUGAACCUUUACUGUAGCUUUACAUUGGACUUUGAACAGAUCUGUGUAGGAUAGGUGGGAGGCUUUGAAGCGGUGCCGCUAGGUGUCGUGGAGCCAACCUUGAAAUACCACCCUGGUGUGUUUGAGGUUCUAACCUUGGCCCGUGAUUCGGGUUGGGGACAGUGUAUGGUGGGCAGUUUGACUGGGGCGGUCUCCUCCCAAAGUGUAACGGAGGAGUUCGAAGGUACGCUAAAUACGGUCGGAAAUCGUGUUGAUAGUGCAUUGGCAUAAGCGUGCUUGACUGCGAGACUGACAAGUCGAGCAGGUACGAAAGUAGGACAAAGUGAUCCGGUGGUUCUGUAUGGAAGGGCCAUCGCUCAACGGAUAAAAGGUACUCUGGGGAUAACAGGCUGAUACCGCCCAAGAGUUCAUAUCGACGGCGGUGUUUGGCACCUCGAUGUCGGCUCAUCUCAUCCUGGGGCUGUAGCCGGUCCCAAGGGUAUGGCUGUUCGCCAUUUAAAGAGGUACGUGAGCUGGGUUUAAAACGUCGUGAGACAGUUAGGUCCCUAUCUUCCGUGGGCGCUGCAAGAUUGAGAGAGCCUGCUCCUAGUACGAGAGGACCGGAGUGGACGCACCUCUGUGUAUCGGUUGUCACGCCAGUGGCAUUGCCGAGUAGCUAAGUGCGGAAGAGAUAACCGCUGAAAGCAUCUAAGCGGGAAACUCGUCUCAAGAUGAGUCUUGCCGGGGCCUUGAGCCCCCUGAAGGGUCGUUCGAGACCAGGACGUUGAUAGGCUGGGUGCGGAAGCGCAGUAAUGCGUUAAGCUAACCAGUACUAAUUGCCCGUGAGGCUUGACCCU